rnacentral:rRNA from 1 species
GAUGAACGCUGGCGGCGUGCUUAACACAUGCAAGUCGAACGGACCUUGAAAAGCUUGCUCCCAAAGUUAGUGGCGGACGGGUGAGUAACGCGUGGGUAACCUGCCCUAUGCAGGGGGAUAACGUUUGGAAACGAACGCUAAUACCGCAUAACCUAAUGAAGCUGCAUGGCUUCAUUAGCAAAGAUUUAUCGGCAUAGGAGGGACCCGCGUUGGAUUAGCUAGUUGGUGAGAUAACAGCUCACCAAGGCGACGAUCCAUAGCCGGCCUGAGAGGGUGAACGGCCACACUGGGACUGAGACACGGCCCAGACUCCUACGGGAGGCAGCAGUGGGGAAUAUUGCACAAUGGGCGCAAGCCUGAUGCAGCGACGCCGCGUGAAGGAUGAAGGUUUUCGGAUCGUAAACUUCUAUCAGCAGGGAAGAAACCAAUGACGGUACCUGACUAAGAAGCCCCGGCUAACUACGUGCCAGCCGCCGC